GAUGAAGAACGUAGUGAAAUGCGAUAAGUAAUGUGAAUUGCAGAAUUCAGAGAAUCAUCGAAUCUUUGAACGCACAUUGCGCCCGUCAGUAUUCUGGCGGGCAUGCCUGUUCGAGCGUCAUUACGCCCCUCAAGUCCCCUGUGGACUUGGUGUUGGGGAUCGGCGAGGCUGGUUUUCCAGCACAGCCGUCCCUUAAAUUAAUUGGCGGUCUCGCCGUGGCCCUCCUCUGCGCAGUAGUAAAACACUCGCAACAGGAGCCCGGCGCGGUCCACUGCCGUAAAACCCCCCAACUUUUUAUAGUUGACCUCGAAUCAGGUAGGACUACCCGCUGAACUUAAGCAUAUCAAUAAGCGGAGGA
rnacentral:misc_RNA from 1 species